UUUAGAGAAGUCUUUGGACACAUGAUUGGCCUCAGGCUUGUUAUUGUUGCUAAAACAUCUUGGCCUGACCCAUAUUUUACCUUUGGGUGACCUGCUGGGUAUCCAUGCAACUCAAAACAAGUUUGGACCCAAUGGCCCGCUUCUCCACACUAUGAACAAUAGGGGUGUCCUCCGUCAGAGCCAGGACAACACCUGUCUUGGUGAAAUCUGUGUCCUCUGUUAAAAUUUUCCAGCGACUUUUCUUUUGAUUGGAGAUCCUGCAACCCAUAUGAGUGGUCAAACCGUUUGGAUCUUGCCGAUCCUCCACUAAAAUUUCUAGUGGGUGUACUACUGCUGUUUCGAACCACCAUGGUGGCGCUACCACAAGAAUCACUUGUUGUGUGCGUUGAGCUUAGGAUACGUUGUCUUUCUUCUUGUAAGAUGGAGGAAUAUGCUUGGCGAACUGAAAUAAGGGGAUUCAUCAGGAGGAUUUUUCCGCAAAUAGCACUGUAGAGACAGAGAGUUGCUCUUGUUGAAGACAAGCGAUAUCUCGCUGAAUUUCAAAGAUGCGAGUUGCAUUGCUUUGAAAGAAUCUCUCACAAAGGUCUUCCCAAACUUCAUGAGCAGCAGAGUAAUAGAUCAUACUGUCUGAAAUUUCUGGACUAAGAGUAUUGACGAUCCAGGAGUGAACCAUAUCAUUGCACCGAGACCAGGCUACAUAGUCUUCAUGAUUAUUUUUUUUCUGAAUGGGCUUUGAUUGAACCAUUGACAAAACAUAGUUUGUUCUUGGAGUUUAAGGUGAGAGUCAUUGCCCUUUUCCAAGUAGAAUAAUUGUCUCCAUUCAAGGGUUUUGAAAUCAAAAUCAAAUCUGGAUGAUCUGAAUGAUGAGUGAAAUAGGGAUUUGAGAGGCUUGCCUCUGAAAAAUCCAUAGAAGUCUCUGUUUUUUUGGUGUCAGGGUCGGCAAUUUUCUUGCCAGGAACAGAAGGUGUUGGUGGUAUUUCGAUAUCGGCCAUGGUUGCUGAAAAGGAGAGAUGUUACACGAGAGAUUAGGGUGUGAUGAUAAAUUAGGAUCUUAGUCCAGCUCUAUACCAUGAAACACUGAAGAAGAGAUUGAGUUUGCUGGAAUGAAUAUAUUAUUGAUCUCA